UACGUAGGGUGCAAGCGUUGUCCGGAAUUAUUGGGCGUAAAGAGCUCGUAGGCGGUUUGUCGCGUCUGCUGUGAAAACCCGCAGCUCAACUGUGGGCUUGCAGCUGAUACGGGCAGGCUUGAGUUCGGUAGGGGAGACUGGAAUUCCUGGUGUAGCGGUGGAAUGCGCAGAUAUCAGGAGGAACACCGGUGGCGAAGGCGGGUCUCUGGGCAGUAACUGACGCUGAGGAGCGAAAGCGUGGGGAGCGAACAGG
rnacentral:rRNA from 1 species